CCUACGGGGGGCUGCAGUGGGGAAUAUUGCACAAUGGGCGCAAGCCUGAUGCAGCCAUGCCGCGUGUGUGAAGAAGGCCUUCGGGUUGUAAAGCACUUUCAGCGGGGAGGAAGGCGGUGAGGUUAAUAACCUCAUCGAUUGACGUUACCCGCAGAAGAAGCACCGGCUAACUCCGUGCCAGCAGCCGCGGUAAUACGGAGGGUGCAAGCGUUAAUCGGAAUUACUGGGCGUAAAGCGCACGCAGGCGGUCUGUCAAGUCGGAUGUGAAAUCCCCGGGCUCAACCUGGGAACUGCAUUCGAAACUGGCAGGCUAGAGUCUUGUAGAGGGGGGUAGAAUUCCAGGUGCAGCGGUGAAAUGCGUAGAGAUCUGGAGGAAUACCGGUGGCGAAGGCGGCCCCCUGGACAAAGACUGACGCUCAGGUGCGAAAGCGUGGGGAGCAAACAGGAUUAGAUACCCGGGUAGUC
rnacentral:rRNA from 1 species